CUCCUUGGUCAAGCGGUUAAGACACCGCCCUUUCACGGCGGUAACACGGGUUCGAGUCCCGUAGGAG
rnacentral:tRNA from 4 species